UUUCCUCCCUCUCUCGCCGUCGCCGAUUGGGCCGUCGACGAACGCAGGGUCUAGGUCGACGGGCGACGACGUCUUCAUCGAGCGGUCCUUCAGGUCCUUCUUCUCCUCCGCGCAGGUCCUCCUCCUCCGUUGAAGAACAUGACGUGGACAGAGGUGGAUUUCUUCCUUAAGUGGAAGACCUAGCCUUGCCGCCGCACCGGGAAGAUCGACCCCGCCGCGACAAUACGACGAGCAGGAGAAGGACCUAGAGGAAUGUGCGGAUCAGGGAGGAUCACCGCCGUCUCCAGUUUGACUUCAUUGGUCGACGACCACUUGCCUGAUCCAUCCUGACUCAUGCUGAAGUUUCAGCUGAUGCCUUCGGGAUGGUUGUGAUGCAAGAUGGAGUGAUAUCUAACUAUGGGUAUACUCAAUUUUACUCACAUAUCUCUGAUUUGGGUCAUUGGCUAUUUCUCUUGCUGCUCAAUGUUCAUAUAUGCACUUGGGUAAUCUCAUAUAUGUUAACUUGUGGACCAGAGAUCUAUAUGCUUAGAAGUGAAUCUCAUAUAUGUUAACUUGGGUAAUCUCAUA